UUGUGGAGGAGGACGCCGAAGGUGGGGCUAAUGACUGGGGUGAAGUCGUAACAAGGUAGCCGUACCGGAAGGUGCGGCUGGAUCACCUCCUAACAGGGAGACAACAAAAUGUUUAAUAUUAUUAUUUUGUCACCUUAGGUCGAUCGGUAUCUCACGUUCUUAAUUUGUUAAGAAUUUCAUUUCCUAAGUUUUUCUAGGUCACACCCAUUAUUUUUCCUGGGCCAUUAGCUCAGGCGGUUAGAGCGCACCCCUGAUAAGGGUGAGGUCCCUGGUUCAAGUCCAGGAUGGCCCAUAUCUCUAUGUUGGGGGUAUAGCUCAGUUGGUAGAGCGCCUGCUUUGCAAGCAGGAUGUCAGCGGUUCGAGUCCGCUUACCUCCACUGAUUACCACCUCUUACAUAACUGGUAAAAAGGAAAUGUUUUGAGUUGUGAUCAUUAUUCUGAACGAAUCUAGCUUCCUAAUGAAAUCAUUAAGAUGCUGGACUCAUUGAAUUAAUUUCAUUGUUUUCAGAGAACCUUGACAACUGCAUAGAUUAUUUUUAAAGACAAUAAGCAUCUUUAAUGAUGCAGAUUUAUUAUUUGUGCGAAUGCAUUAAUAACAAUUCUAUUAAGCUGAUGCUUCAAUUUUUUGAAGUUAUUGGUCAAGCUACAA
rnacentral:misc_RNA from 1 species